CGGGGGCCCGCACAAGCGGUGGAGCAUGUGGUUUAAUUCGAAGCUACGCGAAGAACCUUACCAGGUCUUGACAUCUUGCGCCAACCCUAGAGAUAGGGCGUUUCCUUCGGGAACGCAAUGACAGGUGGUGCAUGGUCGUCGUCAGCUCGUGUCGUGAGAUGUUGGGUUAAGUCCCGCAACGAGCGCAACCCUUGUUACUAGUUGCCAGCAUUAAGUUGGGCACUCUAGUGAGACUGCCGGUGACAAACCGGAGGAAGGUGGGGACGACGUCAGAUCAUCAUGCCCCUUAUGACCUGGGCUACACACGUGCUACAAUGGACGGUACAACGAGUCGCGAACUCGCGAGGGCAAGCAAAUCUCUUAAAACCGUUCUCAGUUCGGACUGCAGGCUGCAACUCGCCUGCACGAAGUCGGAAUCGCUAGUAAUCGCGGAUCAGCAUGCCGCGGUGAAUACGUUCCCGGGCCUUGUACACACCGCCCGUCACACCAUGAGAGUUUGUAACACCCAAAGUCGGUGG
rnacentral:rRNA from 1 species